UACGGGGGGGGCAAGCGUUGUUCGGAAUUACUGGGCGUAAAGGGCUCGUAGGUGGCCAACUAAGUCAGACGUGAAAUCCCUCAGCUUAACUGGGGAACUGCGUCUGAUACUGGAUGGCUUGAGUUUGGGAGAGGGACGCGGAAUUCCAGGUGUAGCGGUGAAAUGCGUAGAUAUCUGGAGGAACACCGGUGGCGAAGGCGGCGUCCUGGACCAACACUGACGCUGAGUGAGCGAAAGCCAGGGGAGCAAACGGG
rnacentral:rRNA from 1 species